UUUUGCGCAAUGGGGGAAACCCUGACGCAGCAACGCCGCGUGAAGGAUGAAGGCUUUCGGGUUGUAAACUUCUUUUAGCAGGAAAGAAACAAAUGACGGUACCUGCAGAAAAAGCACCGGCUAACUCUGUGCCAGCAGCCGCGGUAAUACAGAGGGUGCAAGCGUUAUUCGGAAUUACUGGGCAUAAAGAGCGCGUAGGCGGUCUGAUAAGUCUGAUGUGAAAGCCCUGGACUCAAUCCAGGAAGUGCAUUAGAUACUGUUAGACUUGAGUACAGGAGAGGAGAACGGAAUUCCUGGUGUAGAGGUGAAAUUCGUAGAUAUCAGGAGGAACAACAGAGGCGAAGGCGGUUCUCUGGACUGUAACUGACGCUGAGGCGCGAAA
rnacentral:rRNA from 1 species